rnacentral:lncRNA from 1 species
UUCAACAGAAUUCAGAGUUUAAACUUAACAAGGUUGAAGCAAGCCUGCAUUUUCCCCUGUUGAUUGAAAUGGGAGCAUGAGUGGACCUUCACUUUGUGAUUCAGACGAGUCUGGACUAAUUAAAGACACACGUGUACAUUUAUAGCAAAGCUUGUGCAGAAGGCUGACAGCCCAUCUUAUUCCCACCAGUUUCCCUGGGAGUUCAGCACUGCACUUAGCCUGUUUUACUGAUCUUCCUGAGCCCCUCAUUUGUGACCUGCAAGACCACCAUCCUCAAGAAGUCAGAAGCCUGUGGAACUGGAGCAUAACAGAGGAAGACGGGACAAGCUGAGAAGAAACAACAGAGAGGAAAAUCUUCGCCUUUGUGGCUAUUGGAGCAAAAGGCAGAAAGGUAGGAUUGUAUCUAUGUGGUUGUUAAUCUUUCGCCUACUCACACUGGCUGUAGGGUGGCUGUUGGCUCAGUUUGUGC